rfam:Triticum aestivum genome assembly, contig: Triticum_aestivum_CS42_TGACv1_scaffold_168531_2DL
CUUGUACUCCCUCCGUCCGAAAAUACUUGUCAUUGAAAUGGAUGUAUCUAGAUGUAUUUUAGUUCUAGACACAUCCAUUUUGAUGACAAGUAAUUCCAAACGGAGGGAGUACUUG